ACGGGGAGCAGCAGGCGCGAAACCUUUACACUGCACGACAGUGCGAUAGGGGGAUCCCAAGUGCACAGGCAUAGCGCCUGUGCUUUUCGGUACCGUAAGGUGGUACCAGAAUAAGGGCUGGGCAAGACCGGUGCCAGCCGCCGCGGUAAUACCGGCAGCCCAAGUGAUGGCCGAUCUUAUUGGGCCUAAAGCGUCCGUAGCUGGCCGCGCAAGUCCAUCGGGAAAUCCACCUGCUCAACAGGUGGGCGCCCGGUAGAAACUGCGUGGCUUGGGACCGGAAGGCGCGACGGGUACGUCCGGGGUAGGAGUGAAAUCCCGUAAUCCUGGACGGACCGCCGAAGGCGAAAGCACGUCGCGAGGACGGAUCCGACAGUGAGGGACGAAAGCCAGGGUCUCGAACCGGAUUAGAUACCCGGGUAGUCCUGGCCGUAAACAAUGUCUGCUAGGUGUGGCUCCCACUACGAGUGGGUGCUGUGCCGUAGGGAAGCCGCUAAGCAGACCGCCUGGGAAGUACGUCCGCAAGGAUGAAACUUAAAUGAAUUGACGG
rnacentral:rRNA from 1 species